rnacentral:misc_RNA from 1 species
GAUGAAGAACGUAGCGAAAUGCGAUAAGUAGUGUGAAUUGCAGAAUUCAGUGAAUCAUCGAAUCUUUGAACGCACAUUGCGCCCCUUGGUAUUCCAUGGGGCAUGCCUGUUCGAGCGUCAUUUGUACCUUCAAGCUUUGCUUGGUGUUGGGUGUUUGUCUCGCCUUUGCGUGUAGACUCGCCUUAAAUUAAUUGGCAGCCGGCGUAUUGAUUUCGGAGCGCAGUACAUCUCGCGCUUUGCACUCAUAACGACAGCGUCCAAAAGUACAUUUUACACUCUUGACCUCGGAUCAGGUAGGGAUACCCGCUGAACUUAAGCAUAUCAAUAAGCGGAGGA